UACGUAGGGUGCGAGCGUUGAUCGGAAUUACUGGGCGUAAAGGGUGCGCAGGCGGUUCUGCAAGUCAGGCGUGAAAUCCCCGGGCUUAACCUGGGAAUGGCGCUUGAAACUACGGAACUGGAGUAUGGCAGAGGGAGGUGGAAUUCCACGUGUAGCGGUGAAAUGCGUAGAGAUGUGGAGGAACACCGAUGGCGAAGGCAGCCUCCUGGGCCAAUACUGACGCUCAUGCACGAAAGCGUGGGGAGCAAACAGG
rnacentral:rRNA from 1 species